rnacentral:rRNA from 1 species
GACGGGGGGUCCUAGCGUUGUUCGGAAUCAUUGGGCGUAAAGCGUGUGCAGGUGGCUCUGCAAGUUAGAUGUGAAAGCCCCGGGCUUAACCCGGGAAGUGCAUUUAAAACUGCAGAGCUUGAAUAUGGAAGAGGGUCGUGGAAUUCCUGGUGUGAGUGGUGAAAUACGUAGAUAUCAGGAGGAACACCGGUGGCGAAGGCGGCGACCUGG